rnacentral:tRNA from 1 species
GCCCGGGUGGUGGAAUAGGUAGACACAAGGGACUUAAAAUCCCUCGCCGCAAGGCGUACCGGUUCGAUUCCGGUUCCGGGCACCA